UACGGAGGGAGCUAGCGUUGUUCGGAAUUACUGGGCGUAAAGCGCACGUAGGCGGCUUUGUAAGUUAGAGGUGAAAGCCCGGAGCUCAACUCCGGAACUGCCUUUAAGACUGCAUCGCUUGAAUCCAGGAGAGGUGAGUGGAAUUCCGAGUGUAGAGGUGAGAUUCGUAGAUAUUCGGAAGAACACCAGUGGCGAAGGCGGCUCACUGGACUGGUAUUGACGCUGAGGUGCGAAAGCGUGGGGAGCAAACAGG
rnacentral:rRNA from 1 species